rnacentral:rRNA from 1 species
CAGCCGCCGCGGUAACACCAGCCCCUCGAGUGGUGGGGACUUUUAUUUGGCCUAAAGCGUCCGUAGCUGGCUGUAUCCGUCCCCCGUUAAAUCCAGCGUCCUAAACGUUGGACUGCGGGUGAUACCAUACAGCUAGAGGGUGGGAUAGGUGAGCGGUAUUUCUGGGGUAGGGGCGAAAUCCUUUGAUCCCAGGAGGACCACCAGUGGCGAAGGCUGCUCACUAGAACACGCCUGACGGUCAGGGACGAAAGCUGGGGCAGCGAACCGGAUUAGAUACCCGGGUAGUCCCAGCUGUAAACGAUGCUAGCUAGGUGUUGGGUCGGCCACGUGCCGCCCCAGUGCCGCAGGGAAGCCGUUAAGCUAGCCGCCUGGGGAGUACGGCCGCAAGGCUGAAACUUAAAGGAAUUGGCGGGGGAGCACCACCAGGCGUGAAGCCUGCGGUUUAAUUGGAGUCAACGCCGGAAAUCUUACCAGGAUCGACAGCAGAGUGAAGGCCAGAUUGAAGGUCUUGCUAGACGAGCUGAGAGGUGGUGCAUGGCC